GAGAGGACGAAACUUAUCAGACUGAAGCAGCAACCGACUCUUCCACUUCCUCCACCGCCACCUCUGGUUCGUCACCGGCGACGACAGUCCAAUCCGGUGGCAGCGGCGGAAGCGGCUGGUAGGCGGUGGGCCCCUUGCGGCGGAUAUCCCACGGCUGCGUCUUCUUCGGCCUAGUCUUCCGGUGGUGCGCUGUCGCCUUCUUCUGCGGCCGCGACGAGCACUCCACCACCAGCCCCGCUGGGCUCACCAUCCCACCGCCGCCGCUGCUGCCGGCGAUGGUGACCCAGCCGCGGAGAUAGGCGGAGGAGGAGGAGGAGAGGG
rnacentral:misc_RNA from 1 species